GACGAACGCUGGCGGCGUGCUUAACACAUGCAAGUCGAACGGACAGGCCCUGCUUUUGUGGGGUGCUCGAGUGGCGAACGCGUGAGUAACACGUGAGUAACCUGCCCUUGACUUUGGGAUAACUUCAGGAAACUGGGGCUAAUACCGGAUAGGAGCUCCCGCUGCAUGGUGGGGGUUGGAAAGUUUCGGCGUUUGGGGAUGGACUGGCGGCUUAUCGGCUUGUUGGUGGGGUAGUGGCUUACCAAGGCUUUGACGGGUAGCCGGCCUGGGAGGGUGACCGGCCACAUUGGGACUGAGAGACGGACCAGACGCCUACGGGAGGCAGCAGUGGGGAAUAUGACGCAAUGGGCGGAAGCCUGAUGCAGCAACGCCGCGUGCGUGAUGACGGCCUUCGGGUUGUAAACCGCUUUCGCCUGUGACGAAGCGUGAGUGACGGUAACGGGUAAAGAAGCACCGGCUAACUACGUG
rnacentral:rRNA from 1 species